UUAAACACCGGUUUCUGUACGAUUAGCGAAGUUAAGCAACGUUGAGCUUUGUCAGUACCUAGAUGAGUGACCGCUUGGGAAUGCCAGGUGC
rnacentral:rRNA from 1 species